rnacentral:rRNA from 1 species
AUUGAACGCUGGCGGCAUGCCUUACACAUGCAAGUCGAACGGAUCCAGGGGCUUGCUCCUGGGUUAGUGGCGAACGGGUGAGUAAAGCAUCGGAACGUACCCAGUUGUGGGGGAUAACGUAGCGAAAGUUACGCUAAUACCGCAUACGCACUGAGGUGGAAAGCGGGGGACCGAAAGGCCUCGCGCAAUUGGAGCGGCCGUAGUCGGAUUAGCUAGUUGGUGAGGUAAAAGCUCACCAAGGCGACGAUCCGUAGCUGGUCUGAGAGGAUGAUCAGCCACACUGGGACUGAGACACGGCCCAGACUCCUACGGGAGGCAGCAGUGGGGAAUUUUGGACAAUGGGCGAAAGCCUGAUCCAGCCAUGCCGCGUGAGUGAUGAAGGCCUUCGGGUUGUAAAGCUCUUUCAGACGGAAAGAAAUUGCCUGGGUGAAUAUCCCGGGUAGAUGACGGUACCGUAAGAAGAAGCACCGGCUAACUACGUGCCAGCCGCCGCCGUAAAAC